UACGUAGGGUGCAAGCGUUAAUCGGAAUUACUGGGCGUAAAGCGUGCGCAGGCGGCUUUGCAAGACAGAUGUGAAAUCCCCGGGCUUAACCUGGGAACUGCAUUUGUGACUGCAUGGCUGGAGUGCGGCAGAGGGGGAUGGAAUUCCGCGUGUAGCAGUGAAAUGCGUAGAUAUGCGGAGGAACACCGAUGGCGAAGGCAAUCCCCUGGGCCUGCACUGACGCUCAUGCAC
rnacentral:rRNA from 1 species